GUUUUUUUCAUUAUAAAAGUGUAUUUUCCCAAUUUAGAUGGGGUGGGUGGGUCAUGAAAUAAAUUUGGUAAGAUUGGAUGGGCUUUGAAAUUUUUAUCUACAUCCUAAGAUGGGUCACUAAACUUAUUGGCAAAAUUUGUGAUUUACCUCCAGCCCACCCUAGCAAUUACUUUAUGACCAGUCCCUACUGGGUGAAAUAUGUGUUGGGUGUUUAAUUGCUGCACGAAAUUUCAGACAAUUUGCUUCAGUUUAAGCCUUUGACUAUUCCGCCUUUUGCAUGCUUAACUUCAUCCUCGUACCCAGGGUCUUUUUGGGAAAGACCCUGGUAUCGGCUGGUCACGUGACUCUACAAAAAUUGAUUGCCCAAGGGGGAGUGGCAAAGUAUCAAAUUACAUGCUUCCACAGAAAACGUUAAAUUUCAAAUACCAGGAGUGGGAUUUUACGAUAUAUAGUUCGAAGCGCCCGCUAACUUAUAUUUUAUUCCUCCGUUUGCUUUUAAAUUACAAAAACACUGUGGCAUUUUAUCAACAGUCAAGUCAAGAAACAAAUAAAAUGUAUUCUUUAAACUUUGAAGUUGGGUACUUGGGUAUUCUCUUGAGACAUAUUUUCAUAUCCGAACUGGUCAGUCGUCAACGUUUGUACAUUUUCACUUUUAUCUGUUCCGAAAAUAUGCCAUUAGAUUUGUUGUUUGAAAACGUUGAUAAACUUUGUGCAGAUUUACUAAUAGUACGCGUCUCAUUUUAUAGUGAAGGUUGAUAAAAUUUUGAGAUGUAAUUAACUUUUUGUCACAAAUCGCAAUGUAAACAUGUG